GUAGAGUUGUAGAGGCUUGGCUUAGGUUAGUGGUUCUGGUGUUACAGGUGCUUUGGGCGGCGGAGGCAUUGUCAUGCGCAGGGCCUGUCCUGAUGCCUGGCUGGAGGUUGCUCCACGGUUCCUUCGGCUACCUUGAGGUGGGUGGCCAACCGGGUCAGUGGAAUGCCUUGCUGCGCAGGUGGGAGGUGGUCUCACUGUGUGGAGAAGGGCGUUCACUGCAGUGCUUGUCCGGACUCAGCUGGGGGCAAGGCACCCGGUUGCAGUCUGGGGUGGCGUGUAGGCCAUCUCCGGGGCUCCACUGCCAACAGUGGCAGUGGUCCAAGAACCGUUGGGCGAAGGGUGCUUCGGCCGUCUGGGAAGGCUGUUUGGGACAGUUGCAUGUACAUGGAAACCGGCUGAGGGAUUCCUGAGUGUCGGGAGGGGAAUGGGGGCAGUGCCACGCCGGGCCUCCAGGGGAGAUGGGACUACCAGGACCUCCCAGACCCACAGCCAGGGUUUGCUGCCGCAGCAUGUGCGUGUACACCGGAUCUCAGAAGGGAGGUGGGACUGCCAUGAUCUCCUGGAUGCACAGAAGAGAGGGGCUUCGUCAGGAGUGUAGGCAACACUGGACCACUGGAACCAGGCGAAUGACCAGGCCCUGCAGCUGAUCAAGGGCCUAAAGGCGCACGGGGAGCCAAAGGGAUCAAAGGAGAAAAGGGACCCGCAGGACAACAGG